rnacentral:rRNA from 1 species
CAAAGGCUUGGUCCUGACUUUACUAUCAACUCUAGCUAAACUUACACAUGCAAGUAUCCGCACCCCCGUGAGAAUGCCCUACAGUUCCCCGCCCGGGAACAAGGAGCUGGUAUCAGGCACGCACUACUAGCCCACGACACCUUGCUUAGCCACACCCCCAAGGGAACUCAGCAGUGAUAAACAUUAAGCCAUAAGUGAAAACUUGACUUAGUCAAAGCUAAGAGGGCCGGUAAAACUCGUGCCAGCCACCGCGGUUAUACGAGAGGCCCAAGUUGAUAAUUACCGGCGUAAAGCGUGGUUAAGAUUUUUAUAGAACUAAAGCCGAACCCCUUCAGAGCUGUUAUACGCACCCGAAGGUAAGAAGUUCAACCACGAAAGUGGC